rnacentral:rRNA from 1 species
GGAUAGUAACACGUAGGUAACCCACCCCCGGGACGGGGAUAGCUGCGGGAAACCGCAAUUAAUACCCGAUAACGUCUCCGGACCAAAGGUGUGAUUCCGCCUGGGGACGGGCCUGCGUCCUAUCAGCUAGUUGGUGAGGUAACGGCUCACCAAGGCAACGACGGGUAGCGGGUGUGAGAGCACGACCCGCAUCACUGGGACUGAGACACUGCCCAGACACCUACGGGUGGCUGCAGUCGAGAAUCUUCGUCAAUGGGCGAAAGCCUGAACGAGCGACGCCGCGUGCGGGAUGAAGGCCCUCGGGUUGUAAACCGCUGUCAGUUGGGAGGAAAUCCAAGGGGGCAAACCCCCUUGGUUGACCUAGCUUCAGAGGAAGGACGGGCUAACUACGUGCCAGCAGCCGCGGUAAUACGUAGGGUGCGAGCGUUAAUCGGAAUUACUGGGCGUAAAGCGUGCGCAGGCGGAUUGUUAAGCAAGAUGUGAAAUCCCCGGGCUUAACCUGGGAAUGGCAUUUUGAACUGGCAGUCUAGAGUGUGUCAGAGGGGGGUGGAAUUCCACGUGUAGCAGUGAAAUGCGUAGAUAUGUGGAGGAACACCAAUGGCGAAGGCAGCCCCCUGGGAUAACACUGACGCUCAUGUACGAAAGCGUGGGUAGCAAACAGGAUUAGAUACCCUGGUAGUCCACGCCCUAAACGAUGUCAACUGGUUGUUGGGGGAGUGAAAUCCCUUAGUAACGAAGCUAACGCGUGAAGUUGACCGCCUGGGGAGUACGGUCGCAAGAUUAAAACUCAAAGGAAUUGACGGGGACCCGCACAAGCGGUGGAUGAUGUGGAUUAAUUCGAUGCAACGCGAAAAACCUUACCUACCCUUGACAUGUCCAGAAUCCUGCAGAGAUGUGGGAGUGCCCGAAAGGGAAUUGGAACACAGGUGCUGCAUGGCUGUCGUCAGCUCGUGUCGUGAGAUGUUGGGUUAAGUCCCGCAACGAGCGCAACCCUUAUCAUUAGUUGCUACGCAAGGGCACUCUAAUGAGACUGCCGGUGACAAACCGGAGGAAGGUGGGGAUGACGUUAAGUCCUCAUGGCCCUUAUGGGUAGGGCUUCACACGUCAUACAAUGGUCGGUACAGAGGGUUGCCAAGCCGCGAGGUGGAGCCAAUCCCAGAAAGCCGAUCGUAGUCCGGAUUGUUCUCUGCAACUCGAGAGCAUGAAGUCGGAAUCGCUAGUAAUCGCGGAUCAGCAUGUCGCGGUGAAUACGUUCCCGGGUCUUGUACACACCGCCCGUCACACCAUGGGAGUGGAAUCUGCCAGAAGUAGGUAGCCUAACCGCAAGGAGGGCGCUUACCACGGUGGGUUUCAUGACUGGGGUGAGGUCGUAACAAGGUA